rnacentral:rRNA from 1 species
GACGAACGCUGGCGGCGUGCCUAAUACAUGCAAGUCGAACGGAGUGGCGAACGGGUGAGUAAUGUAUCGGAACGUGCCCAGUAGCGGGGGAUAACUACCCGAAAGCGGCGCUAAUACCGCAUACUAUUAGAGCGGCCGAGAUCGGAUUAGCUAGUUGGUGGGGUAAAGGCCUACCAAGGCGACGAUCCGUAGCUGGUUUGAGAGGACGAUCAGCCACACUGGGACUGAGACACGGUCCAGACUCCUACGGGAGGCAGCAGUGGGGAAUUUUGGACAAUGGGGGAAACCCUGAUCCAGCCAUGCCGCGUGUGUGAUGAAGGUCUUCGGGUUGUAAAGCACUUUUGGCAGGAAAGCGGUACCUGCAGAAUAAGCACCGGCUAACUACGUGCCAGCAGCCGCGGUAAUAC